rnacentral:tRNA from 1 species
AAAUAAGAAGCGAUAAAUUGCAAUUAGUUUCGACCUAAUCUUAGGUGAAAAUCACCCUUAUUUU